ACUAGCUUUAGCGCAAUAACUGGAAGUCUAUGGUUAUCUACUAGCAUGCCAGCUCAUUGCCAAAAUCCAGAAUGAUCCCUUUAAGACAAAGCUGCUGCUACUCUCUGUUGAUCAUAUAUGCAGUCACAUUAACUAUACAUUCAUGUACAUACUACCUCAAUCAGCCUGACUAACCGGUGCCUGUAUGUAGCCUCGCUACUGUAUAAAGCCUCGCUACUGUUAUAGCCUCACUACUGUAUAUAGCCUCGCUACGGUAUAAAGGCUCGCUACUGUUAUAGCCUCACUACUGUAUGUAGCCUCGAUACGGUAUGUAGCCUCGAUACUGUUAUUUUUCACUGUCUUUUUACUGUCGUUUUUAUUUUUCUACUUACCCAUUGUUCACCUAAUACCUUUUUUUGCACUGUUGGUUAGAGUCUGUAAGUAAGCAUUUCACUGUAAGGUCUACACCGGUUGUAUUCGGCAUUUCACUGUAAGGUCUACACCGGUUGUAUUCGGCAUUUCACUGUAAGGUCUACACCGGUUGUAUUCGGCAUUUCACUGUAAGGUCUACACCGGUUGUAUUCGGCAUUUCACUCUAAGGUCUACACCGGUUGUAUUCGGCAUUUCACUCUAAGGUCUACACCGGUUGUAUUCGGCAUUUCACUGUAAGGUCUACACCGGUUGUAUUCGGCAUUUCACUGCAAGGUCUACACCGGUUGUAUUCGGCAUUUCACUGCAAGGUCUACACCGGUUGUAUUCGGCAUUUCACUGUAAGGUCUACACCGGUUGUAUUCGGCAUUUCACUGUAAGGUCUACACCGGUUGUAUUCGGCGCACGUGACAAAGAAGACUUUGAUUUGAUUUGAAUGUAGCCAACAGAAGA